CUCCCCCAGCCUCGCACCCCUGCUUUGAAGUUUCUGCUCUGUGCCUCUUAUCUUCUGGUUCCCAAUUCCAGUUCCCUGGAGAUGAAAUUGCCCUUAACAUGGAACAUCACUUCCUGGAUUCUACUGAGAGGACCUCCAAGAUGGUGGAACUGCAUUUGUGGAAUCAUCCUAAUGAUUAGUGCUAAUUAGACUUGUGAUUUCACCAUGAUAUCAGAGACCUAAAUGCCCCCGCAGAGUAAAGAAAAUUCUCUUCCACCACUGCACAUUCAUGAAAAUCAUGUCCUAUGAGAGUCAACUAAAGAAGUUACAAAGAAAAUGUCCAGAGCAAAAGAUAAACAUGAUGGACAUAGUAGAGACAUAAAAGCCUGGAUCCACGUGCAGAUCUUCCUUCUCAGAGCUGGGCAAUGUGUGCUCUGAACUUACUCUGUUACCGUUAAGAACCCCGAGCAACGGUGAGAAUACAGAGGAUUCUUCAAACAAGGCAGGAAUGCCCAUUCGACUUUCCCCAAUGGCUCUGCAUAAGAGGAACCAACAGAGAUCCUUUCCUGAGACCUAAGGAGGCAAAAGCUAGGUGGCAACCAAAGAUUUCAGAGGAGGAAGCAGGUAAGGUGCAGAGCUGCCAGGUGAUUUCUCCCAUUGACUAUUUGUCUUUUUCCUUUCUUACUACCUUCUUUGUUUGCUUAUUUUAGUAGUUGCUUCAGGAUAUAUAGUAGUAUAUAUCACAGGCACCCUUCAAGUGAUAUAUUGCCCCUUCAUAUAGUACAAAAUCCUCACAACAGUAUACUUCCAUUUCUUUUCUCCUGGCCUUUAGUCCUCACUGUCUUCUGUUUUCAUCCAAAUCUUCUUCCUGACUGUUGACUCUAUUGAACCCAGUGGCCCCAAGUCUGUCACCACAUGCUGGGCUGUGAGAUGUCGGUGCCCUGCAGCCAAAGGCCUCCAAGAGCUCACCUGCACUUAAGUAAGUUGGGUUUCUCAUUUGUCACCGUGAGGGAGUACACACACACCAUGGAGAAUUGCCAGGUGUCCCAGUAAAGGGUGUCAGAAAGAACCUAUUAUAGGAUGUGAGCUUUGCUUGGUGGUUUUGAAAGGAUUUAGUGAAAUAGGGAAUUGGUCUCUGUUGGCUGCAGUCAAGAAGGGAAGGUCAUUCUAUGAUUGGUACCUCAAUAAAUCUUACCUAUGGGAGGGCAUUCUAGAUGCUAAAGCAGUAAUUAAUAAUAAUAAAAAAAGCAGCCACUCAUAUUACCUGAGGAAGAGAGAUUUUUGUAUUUUGCAGCUCGGAUGAUAUGCAUGUUUUGUCUCUAUUUAGGCAUGAUUCUGGAAUGGUCUGUUUGCUAUCUUCGUUGUUGUUGUGUCUUGAUCUAUCAUAGUCACAGAGUGAUCUUGUCUCAUAUUAAUGUUCUGUGAAAUCAUUUAUGUUCAACAGGAAAGCACCGAGGCACAGCCAUGAGUGCCACACCAGCUCAUAAAAACACCAAGAUCUGCCUGAUAAUGCCAGGGCAUGCCUGGGUGUCAGGCGCUGCUCUGCUUUUCUGGGGAAUCGCAGAGUUCUGGUGUGAACUUCUCCACCAGCCCCCGAGCAGCCUAGCCUCAGCAGCAGAUGUGCUUGGCUGCUCAGGUUGACUGAUGGGAAUCUCCUCCUAUGUUCUUGUUUCCCUUUAGACCUUCAUUUCUCCAGCUUCUCCCCUAAUUGUGCCAAUCUGAUUUCUAUAAUGAAUCCCUCAUCCCAUUACUCAUAGUGGUACUGC
rnacentral:lncRNA from 10 species